UAGGGAAUCUUCGGCAAUGGACGAACGUCUGACCGAGCAACGCCGCGUGAGUGAAGAAGGUUUUCUGAUCGUAAAACUCUGUUGUUAGAGAAGAACAAGGACGUUAGUAACUGAACGUCCCCUGACGGUAUCUAACCAGAAAGCCACGGCUAACUACGUGCCAGCAGCCGCGGUAAUACGUAGGUGGCAAGCGUUGUCCGGAUUUAUUGGGCGUAAAGCGAGCGCAGGCGGUUUCUUAAGUCUGAUGUGAAAGCCCCCGGCUCAACCGGGGAGGGACAUUGGAAGCUGGGAGACUUGAGUGCAGGAGAGGGAGGUGGAAUUCCGUGUGUAGCGGUGAAAUGCGUAAAUAUAUGGAGGAACACCAGUGGCGAAGACGGGUCUGUGGUCUGUAACCGACACAGAGGCUCGAAAGCGUGGGGAGCAGACAGG
rnacentral:rRNA from 1 species